CCCAGGAGGAGAGGCUCACUGCUGAGAGAGAGAGAAUGUAUCUGGGGCAGUAUUUUAGCCCUUGGGUCCAGCUAUGCUUGAAGCUGAGACUUGAAGCUAGUCUUUUCAAUUAAAUUAGCCAAUCAACUUUUUUUGCUUAAACCCAUUUUAGUUGGGUUUCUGUCACUUACGCUCUUAUUAAUACUCCUCACAGUGAGAGCCUCCUUUUCACUUGAGCAAGUUUGAAUGGGUUCUGUCACUUAUGAUCUAAAGAUCUUGGACUAGAAUUAAGGAUUGAGUCUCUGUUCUGAUGACCACACUUCCGCUCAAUUUCCAAUGACUCUGUAGGUUCCAAGUUUUUGGCCUUACUUCCUUUUCCUGACUUGCUCUUUUGAGAACUUGCCUGAGAAAAAGAGAAGUGGGACCUCCCAUUCAUCAAGUGAUUACAAUACGAAUAAUCACAGCUGUCCUGUGAGGAAGUUAAUAUAAUCAGCAAGAAGUGAAAAGAGGAUCAAUGAAGACGUGGGCUCUGAGGCCCCUCUGUCCUGUGGUUGGAUGCUUCCACAAGUCUCUGCACCUGUCCAGGAAGCCCAGGGAUCAUUGGAGGCCUUUGGGGGUGUUAACAGCCCGCUGUUCACCCAGCUGCUCCACCUUGACAGCUCAGCACCUCCCCACGGUGCUUAUGUGAGCUGUAACCCGGACAGCUGAAGCUUCCUGGUGGAGCAGAAUCAAGGAGUAUUUGCUGGACCCCUUCAUCUGUGUGAAAUCUGGAGUAUAUUCUGGAUCCUCUACAUAUAAAAUCACAAGAUAUUUGCAGAAUACCAUAUUGUGUGUAUAGUCACGGCCUGUUUGUACUGUCCCCUCCUCUGUGUAAAAUCAAGGACUAUUUAUAGAACACCUUUCUAACUGUAGACGCAUAAACUGACAGUUUCCCAUGUUUAGUACCAUGGGAUAUUUACAAAGCACCCCUGCUCUAGGUAGAAUCAAGGAAAUGAACACCUUCCUCUGAGGAGGACCAUUAAUUGUUUGCAGAGCCCUCCCUGGGAUCACCAACUGUUUGCACAGCACAUUGGAAAACCAAGGAAGGUCUACACAGCCCUUUUCUAUCUAUAGAAUUAUAUAGUAUUU